rnacentral:rRNA from 1 species
GACGGAGGGUGCUAGCGUUGUUCGGAAUCACUGGGCGUAAAGGGCGCGUAGGCGGCCCAUGCAGUCGGUUAGUGAAAGCCCGGGGCUCAACCCCGGAGGUGCGGCCGAAACACAUGGGCUGGAGGCCGGAAGAGGAGGGUGGAAUACCCAGUGUAGAGGUGAAAUUCGUAGAUAUUGGGUGGAACACCGGUGGCGAAAGCGGCUCUCUGGUCCGGACCUGACGCUGAGGCGCGAAAGCGUGGGGAGCGAACAGG